rnacentral:rRNA from 1 species
UCGGGAAUUUUGGGCAAUGGGCGAAAGCCUGACCCAGCAACGCCGCGUGAGGGAUGAAGUAUUUCGGUAUGUAAACCUCGAAAGAAUGGGAAGAAUAAAUGACGGUACCAUUUAUAAGCUCCGGCUAACUACGUGCCAGCAGCCGCGGUAAUACGUAGGGAGCAAGCGUUGUUCGGAUUUACUGGGCGUAAAGGGCGCGUAGGCGGCGCGGUAAGUCACUUGUGAAAUCUCUGAGCUUAACUCAGAACGGCCAAGUGAUACUGCUGUGCUAGAGUGCGGAAGAGGCAACCGGAAUUCUUGGUGUAGCGGUGAAAUGCGUAGAUAUCAAGAGGAACACCUGAGGCGAAGGCGGGUUGCUGGGCCGACACUGACGCUGAUGCGCGAAAGCCAGGGUAGCAAACG